AUAUCAAUAAGCGGAGGAAAAGAAACCAACAGGGAUUGCCUUAGUAACGGCGAGUGAAGCGGCAAAAGCUCAAAUUUGAAAUCUGGCACCUUCGGUGUCCGAGUUGUAAUUUGAAGAAGGUAACUUUGGAGUCAGCUCUUGUCUAUGUUCCUUGGAACAGGACGUCACAGAGGGUGAGAAUCCCGUGCGAUGAGAUGUCUGAUUCUAUGUAAAGUGCUUUCGAAGAGUCGAGUUGUUUGGGAAUGCAGCUCUAAGUGGGUGGUAAAUUCCAUCUAAAGCUAAAUAUUGGCGAGAGACCGAUAGCGAACAAGUACAGUGAUGGAAAGAUGAAAAGAACUUUGAAAAGAGAGUGAAAAAGUACGUGAAAUUGUUGAAAGGGAAGGGUUUGAGAUCAGACUUGGUAUUUUGUAUGUCUUGCUUUCGGGUGGGGCCUCUACAGUUUACUGGGCCAGCAUCGGUUUGGACGGUAGGAUAAUGACAUUGGAAUGUGGCACCACUUCGGUGGUGUGUUAUAGACUUUGUUGAUACUGCCUGUCUAGACCGAGGACUGCGUCUUUGACUAGGAUG
rnacentral:rRNA from 1 species